AAUAAUUUUUUAAUGCGAGAAAAGAAAAAAAUAUGCGAGAUUCUCGCUUUGUAGUGGAAACACUGUAAUGAUAUAAUAUAGAAUAUGGACAGUAAUAGAAUAUGGAAUUGUCAAAUGGAACUUCAUUCCUAACAAUGAAGAAAUAUUCUAUUUUGCACUAUAUGCUAUUUUUUAUUAUUUCAAAUCAUGUAACUAAAACAGCUUACCAUUCGUUAACAAUGAUUGCUGGUCAGGGAGGCCAUGGAUUAUUUAUUUUAUGAUGGUUGGAUUUAUGAUGAUGGUCUCGGGCCAUCAUUAGUUUUGAGCCCUGGUUGUAAUUUUUUCAAUUAAAUAUAUCUAUCUGUUAAUCUUAAAUUGUUGACAAUAACUUAGAAUGUUAAAGAUUUUUGCCUUGUAUAAUUGGAAACUCUGUUGCUUCUAUUAUGUUGUCUCCAGUUCAAGUUCAGAUUAAUUUAAAUACUAUGGUAUUAAUAGUUUUAAUUAAAAAUAAAAAAUAAAUUAAUCAUAUUUUCUUGUUUUAAUCAAAUGUUUUGGCCUUUUAUUAAAAUUAAAUUACUUUUCAGGUUCUGCUCAUUCAGUGCUUGCUCCAUAUUGGUCUAAAACUCUACAACAUAAUUCUUUUUGUGCUUCGUCUGGGCUGCUGGAUAAUGCAAAUGGAGAAUGACAUUCUGGUAGAAUACGAGGGCCCGUAAGUUCAAUCCUG